UUAAAAUAAGUAAUUUAACAAAAACAUGUAGAGUAUAUGUAAGAAAUAACCAUUGACUUGAAAAGAAUACACAAAAUAACCUUGGACCAAAUAGUAUUUGUCGGCUACAGAAAUUUUGGUAAUAUUUAGUCUAUUUUAGCCUUUCUCUUUCUUAUUCCUUCUUUUGUUUUUUUUCCAUGUUCUUUACGAGACUUUAGUCAUAGAGUUCUCUUUCUCUCUUCAUUUUUAACACAAUUCAUCUUCUUCAGAUUCACCAUGUCAUUUUCUUUUUCUAUUUCUCUCUUCCUCUCCUAAAAUAAUCUUCACCACCUUUCAUAAAAUAUAUCAUCAUAUCUUUUUAUUUUGUUCACCCACAUGUUCUCUCUUUCUUUUUCCAUAGAAAUCUCUCUAUCUCUCAUUCUUUAUUUUAUUUUUUACCUGAAUUCUCCGUCAAUGUCGUUGUGAUAUAAGAGAUUAGAUUUGAUUUUAAAACAAAUGUCUGAUUUUAAAAUGCAUGUAUUUUAAGAACAAAACAUGUUAUUAACACUGAUAUAUUAAUAUUUGUCAUGCUAUCCCACAAAAACUCAUGAAAUA
rnacentral:sRNA from 1 species